UAUUUUUAAUUGACAUAGACCAAGUCCUCUAGUAAAAUGAGGAUGAUGCAUCGGGAAUACCC
rnacentral:tRNA from 1 species